UGACCAAUUCACAUUUGAAAUAAGUUCUUUGUGUUAAGGACAAACUUUUGGGCCAAAAAUAUUAAUGCAUGUUUUCAGGCCAUAGUCAUCUCAGCCCACAUUUACUUCAAAUCAAUUCAAAGUCCAUUAGAGAGAGUCAUGCUUCAUAAAUACCAGUAGUGAGGCACAGUUCAGUAGACCAUCUUCAUACACAAAUUUGUACUGAUAAUAUUUUUAGUAAGUUAGUAACUAGAGUCGGAACAAUUGAGAUAUACGAGUGCAUAAUUACAACGUAAAAUCCCAGUUCUUCUUGUUGCAGCAGCGUGGUAUAAGACAAAAUGAACAAAAAAUUUGGAGGAUCGCAGCCCACAGGGACUCCGUCACUGGCUUGGUCCUGCGUUGUGGUUAUCGUCUCACUUCUUGCUGGUGCUUCCGUCGUCCACAACAUCUACAAGCCUGAUCUUACACUACCUCCGCUGGAGAAAGAUGAUGGAACUAACAAGAAAGAACCUGAGAAACCAUGAAAAUCUCUGUUGGCUUUUCACUUUUAUUAGUUGAAUAUUAGAAUGUUUAUCUGGGUUCCUCUAGCUGAAUACUUUUGUUUGAAUAUUUGAGAACUAAAUCAUUUCGAAAUACGAGGGAACACUGAUGUUGCACUGCAAUUUUUCAUUGAUACGAUGAACAUUCAUUUGUUA